rnacentral:rRNA from 1 species
CCUACGGGUGGCAGCAGUGGGGAAUAUUGCACAAUGGGGGAAACCCUGAUGCAGCGACGCCGCGUGAGUGAAGACGUACUUCGUUAUGUAAAGCCCUAUCAGCAGGGAAGAAAAUGACGGUACCUGUCGAAUAAGCCACGGCUAACUACGUGCCAGCAGCCGCGGUAAUACGUGGGUGGCAAGCGUUGUCCGGAUUUACUGGGUGUAAAGGGCGUGUAGCCGGGUUGACAAGUCAGAUGUGAAAUCCUGCGGGUUAACCCCAGAACUGCAUUUGAAACUGUUGAACUUGAGUACUGGAGAGGCAGACGGAAUUCCUGGUGUAGCGGUGAAAUGCGUAGAUAUUAGGAGGAACACCAGUGGCGAAGGCGGUCUGCUGG